rnacentral:rRNA from 1 species
GACGAACGCUGGCGGCGUGCUUAACACAUGCAAGUCGAACGGAAAGGCCCUGCUUUUGUGGGGUGCUCGAUUGGCGAACGGGUGAGUAACACGUGAGUAACCUGCCCUUGACUGUGGGAUAUCUUCAGGAAACUGGGGCUAAUACCGGAUAGGAGCUCCUGCUGCAUGGUGGGGGUUGGAAAGUUUCGGCGGUUGGGGAUGUACUCGCUGGUUAUCAGCUUGUUGGUGGGGUAGUGGCUUACAAAGGCUUUGACGGGUAGCCGGCCUGAGAGGGUGACCGGGCUCAUGGGGACUGCGAUACGGACCAGACUGCUACGGGAGGCAGUAGUGGGGAACAUUGCGCAGUGGGCGGAAGCCUGAGGCAGCAACGCCGCGUGCGGGAUGACGGCCUUUGGGUUGUAAACCGCUUUCGCCUGUGCCGAGGCGUGAGUGACGGUAAUGGGUAAAGAAGCACCGGCUAACUACGUG